GGUCUGGUGGCCAUAGCACGAGCAAAACACCCGAUCCCAUUCCGAACUCGGCCGUUAAGUGCCGUUGCGCUGAUGGUACUGCGUCUCAAGACGUGGGAGAGUAAGUCACCGCCAGACCU
rnacentral:rRNA from 1 species